GAUCAUGGCUCAGAGUGAACGCUGGCGGCGUGCUUUAACACAUGCAAGUCGAACGAGAACGGAUUAUAGCUUGCUAUAAUUGUCAGCUAAGUGGCGCACGGGUGAGUAAUGUAUAGGUAAUAUGCCUCUUACUAAGGGAUAACAAAUGGAAACGUUUGCUAAUACCUUAUACUCCUUAUUAACAGAAGUUAAUAAGGGAAAGAUUUAUUGGUAAGAGAUUAGCCUGUAUUGUAUCAGUUAGUUGGUGGGGUAAUGGCUUACCAAGACUAUGACACAUAACUGGUUUGAGAGGAUGAUCAGUCACACUGGAACUGAGACACGGUCCAGACUCCUACGGGAGGCAGCAGUGGGGAAUAUUGCACAAUGGACGAAAGUCUGAUGCAGCAACGCCGCGUGGAGGAUGACACAUUUCGGUGCGUAAACUCCUUUUAUAUGAGAAGAUAAUGACGGUAUUAUAUGAAUAAGCACCGGCUAACUCCGUG
rnacentral:rRNA from 1 species